rnacentral:sRNA from 1 species
AAAAAAAAAAUAUAUAUAUAUAUGCAUAUAUGUUUAUGUGUAUUGUAUAUGGUUAUUCUACAAACAAACCAAAAACAUUUUUUUCAGACAAAAUACAAAAUACUCUCCAGAAAGCCAAGAUACCCUUAGUGACCAAUGAGGAGUGCCAGAAGAGAUACAGAGGACAUAAAAUAACCCAUAGGAUGAUCUGCGCCGGCUACAGGGAAGGAGGGAAGGAUGCUUGCAAGGGAGAUUCGGGAGGCCCUCUGUCCUGCAAACACAAUGAGGUCUGGCAUCUGGUAGGCAUCACGAGCUGGGGCGAAGGCUGUGCUCAAAGGGAGCGGCCAGGCGUUUACACCAACGUGGUUGAGUACGUGGACUGGAUUCUGGAGAAAACUCAAGCAGUGUGAACGGGUUCCCAGGGGCCACUGGAGUCCCUGAAGGACCCAGGAUUUGCUGGGAGAGGGUGUGGAGUUCACUGUGCCAGCGUGCUUCCUCCACAGUAACACGCUGAAGGGGCUUGGUGUUUGUAGGAAAAUGCUAGAAGAAAACAAACUGUCACAAGUUGUUAUGUCC